rnacentral:rRNA from 1 species
AAAUGAUGGAUAAUACUAGAUAUUAUUAGUAGUAGGCAUCUACUAUUAAUGAAAGGAGAGAUUGCUAAGAGAGAGCUUUGCAUCCUAUUAGCUAGUUGGUGGGGUAAAGGCCUACCAAGGCUAUGAUAGGUAGCCGGCCCGAGAGGGUGAACGGCCACAAGGGGACUGAGAUACGGCCCUUACUCCUACGGGAGGCAGCAGUGGGGAAUAUUGGACAAUGGAGGAAACUCUGAUCCAGCAAUUCUGUGUGCACGAAGAAGGUUUUCGGAUUGUAAAGUGCUUUCAGUAGGGAAGAAGAAGAUGACGGUACCUACAGAAGAAGCGACGGCUAAAUACGUGCCAGCAGCCGCGGUAAUACGUAUGUCGCAAGCGUUAUCCGGAAUUAUUGGGCUUAAAGGGCAUCUAGGCGGUCUAACAAGUUGAAGGUGAAAAGCUGUGGCUCAACCAUAGUCUUGCCUACAAAACUGUCAGACUAGAGUACUGGAAAGGUGGGUGGAACUACACGAGUAGAGGUGAAAUUCGUAGAUAUGUGUAGGAAUGCCGAUGAUGAAGAUAACUCACUGGACAGAAACUGACGCUGAAGUGCGAAAGCUAGGGGAGCAAACAGGAUUAGAUACCCUGGUAGUCCUAGCUGUAAACGAUGAUCCUGGGGGGGGGGGGGGG